rnacentral:rRNA from 1 species
UACGGGAGGCAGCAGUGGGGAAUAUUGCACAAUGGGCGAAAGCCUGAUGCAGCUAUGCCGCGUGUAUGAAGAAGGCCUUAGGGUUGUAAAGUACUUUCAUCGGGGAGGAAAAAACAAAACUAAUAAUUUUAUUUCUUGACGUUACCCGAAAAAGAAGCACCGGCUAACUCCGUGCCAGCAGCCGCGGUAAUACGGAGGGUGCUAGCGUUAAUCAGAAUUACUGGGCGUAAAGAGCACGUAGGUGGUUUUUUAAGUCAGAUGUGAAAUCCCUGGGCUUAACCUAGGAACUGCAUUUUGAAACUGAAAUACUAGAGUAUCGUAGAGGGAGGUAGAAUUCUAGGUGUAGCGGUGAAAUGCGUAGAUAUCUGGAGGAAUACCUGUGGCGAAAGCGGCCUCCUAAACGAAUACUGACACUGAGGUGCGAAAGCGUUGGGGAGCAAACAGGGAUUAGAUACCCGU